UACAAAAUAGAUCAAAUUCAAAUUCAUAGCCAUGAUAAAAUUAUGGGAAGCUAAGAGCAUUGAUUGGCAGAGUAUGACGCUCCUGGGGGGCAGAAUCAGUGUCUUCCUGUUAUGUGAGCUUGGCCCUCUGUUUCAUCAGGAUCUUCUUGUGACAUCACAAGAGAAAGGCUUUUUGCAAGGACCUAGCACUAUUACUGUAUAGAGAAAUGCUCAUGGGAAAAAAAUCAAGAUUCAAUAAUGCGGUGAUUUAUCAAGGCUGUGAAAAUAUACCAAAAGUUGAAGAGCAGCUGAAUUCCAACUGAACAGUACCAUAUGCUGCUAAUUUGCUCAUAGCUGAGUUGGCCAUAAACACAGUGAGAGGAGGAACUGCCAUUUUCCCUUUUAGCUGCGGACCUAAACAUAGUGCUGGAAACAGUAGGCAUUUAAUUACCAUUUGCUGAAUGGAGAGUUGAAUAAACCUUUAAUUUGCAGUAUAAUUAAUAAAAUGUAUGAUAUGUGAUUUUAAACAUUACCAUACUAGAUGUAAUGAAAUGUAAUGCAUAUAAUGAAGCAUAAGAUUCUUGUACUUAAGUAGUUUAUAGUCUAUUUCGCCAUAAAUGAUUAAAACCCCUUAAAGAUAAUAAACAAUAAGCUGUUUACUGUUGCCAAUAGAUAUUGCAGAGAAUAAUUUACAUAGGUGAUCAUUGGAGCCAUUUACUCUAAUAAUUCUCAGAAAUUCUAUCACACCGCUCUCCUUCUAAACCACCAUUUCUUGCCUGUAAAUAAUGCCAUUUCUAUGAUAAAUAAGAAUAGACUUAUCCAACUUGAAAAAUAAACAGGCAUUUUAAAAAUAAACAUAUUUAGCCUAUAACAUUUUCAGUUUCAGUCAUAUGUUUACAGUUUAGUGAGGGAGAUAGUGUUCAAAAUAUACAAUUUAAAACAAGACAGAGUAAUUUAGAGUAAUUGCAAGAAUGGGCA
rnacentral:lncRNA from 10 species